rnacentral:rRNA from 1 species
CACCUGGGGAGUACGACCGCAAGGUUGAAACUCAAAGGAAUUGACGGGGGCCCGCACAAGCAGUGGAGUAUGUGGAUUAAUUCGAAGCAACGCGAAGAACCUUACCAGGUCUUGACAUCGUAUGCAUAGCUCAGAGAUGAGUGAAAUCUCUUCGGAGACAUAUAGACAGGUGGUGCAUGGUUGUCGUCAGCUCGUGUCGUGAGAUGUUGGGUUAAGUCCCGCAACGAGCGCAACCCUUACUGUUAGUUGCUACGCAAGAGCACUCUAGCAGGACUGCCGUUGACAAAACGGAGGAAGGUGGGGAUGACGUCAAAUCAUCAUGCCCCUUAUGACCUGGGCCUCACACGUACUACAAUGGCUGUCAACAGAGGGAAGCAAAGCCGCGAGGUGGAGCGAACCCCUAAAAGCAGUCUUAGUUCGGAUUGUAGGCUGCAACCCGCCUACAUGAAGUCGGAAUUGCUAGUAAUCGCAGAUCAGCAUGCUGCGGUGAAUACGUUCCCGGGCCUUGUACACACCGCCCGUCACGCCAUGGGAGUCGGUAACACCCGAAGCCUGUAGUCUAACCGCAAGGAGGACGCAGUCGAAGGUGGGAUUGAUGACUGGGGUGAAGUCGUAACAAGGUAGCCGUAUCGGAAGGUGCGGCUG